GCCUGAAAGAGAAAAAGUCAAGUCAGAAGCCUGGUCAUUCUGUCUCUUUGUUCAGUAAAUCACUUCUCUUCCCACAAGAUGGUUAGUUAUGACUGUCCUAUCACCUGGGAUUCAAAUAGGCAUAGGAAAAAUAAAAAGGAAAUAGAAGGGAUUUGGGAAGAUUCACAAGCCCAAUGCUUCUGAAAAGAAGGGGUUAGAAAUAAAUGUUCCUGUAAUCCCUGUUACUUACCAUAGCCCAGCCCUGAAGGGGGAGGGGCUGGGGCCACAGCACCACUGAUCUGCAUUCCUGCCAGCUGAGCAGUCACCUGUGCACUUGUUGG